CGCACUGUAUGGUAUCUGCACGCAAUGGCUUUAUCCUAUUGUGGUGUUCAAUAACCGGUGCAAGAUCAAAUCAGUAAGUGGCAUCGUUGGUUUCAAGCCUCUUGUGUUUGAAGUCCUGGUUUUAUGCUGAGACAAAG